UGAGGAAUAUUGGUCAAUGGGCGCGAGCCUGAACCAGCCAAGUAGCGUGAAGGAUGAAGGUCCUACGGAUUGUAAACUUCUUUUAUAAGGGAAUAAAGUCACCCACGUGUGGGUGUUUGUAUGUACCUUAUGAAUAAGCAUCGGCUAACUCCGUGCCAGCAGCCGCGGUAAUACGGAGGAUGCGAGCGUUAUCCGGAUUUAUUGGGUUUAAAGGGAGCGUAGACGGGCCGUUAAGUCAGCUGUGAAAGUUUGAGGCUCAACCUUAAAAUUGCAGUUGAUACUGGCGUCCUUGAGUACGGUUGAGGCAGGCGGAAUUCGUGGUGUAGCGGUGAAAUGCUUAGAUAUCACGAAGAACCCCGAUUGCGAAGGCAGCCUGCUAAACCGCCACUGACGUUGAGGCUCGAAAGUGUGGGUAUCAAACAGGAUUAGAUACCCUGGUAGUCCACACGGUAAACGAUGGAUACUCGCUGUUGGCGAUAGACUGUCAGCGGCUUAGCGAAAGCGUUAAGUAUCCCACCUGGGGAGUACGCCGGCAACGGUGAAACUCAAAGGAAUUGACGGGGGCCCGCACAAGCGGAGGAACAUGUGGUUUAAUUCGAUGAUACGCGAGGAACCUUACCCGGGCUUAAAUUGCAUUUGAAUAAUCUGGAAACAGGUUAGCCGCAAGGCAAAUGUGAAGGUGCUGCAUGGUUGUCGUCAGCUCGUGCCGUGAGGUGUCGGCUUAAGUGCCAUAACGAGCGCAACCCUUAUCUUUAGUUACUAACAGGUCAUGCUGAGGACUCUAGAGAGACUGCCGUCGUAAGAUGUGAGGAAGGUGGGGAUGACGUCAAAUCAGCACGGCCCUUACGUCCGGGGCUACACACGUGUUACAAUGGGGGGUACAGAAGGCAGCUACCUGGCGACAGGAUGCUAAUCCCAAAAACCUCUCUCAGUUCGGAUCGAAGUCUGCAACCCGACUUCGUGAAGCUGGAUUCGCUAGUAAUCGCGCAUCAGCCAUGGCGCGGUGAAUACGUUCCC
rnacentral:rRNA from 1 species